rnacentral:rRNA from 1 species
GAUGAACGCUGGCGGCGUGCUUAACACAUGCGAGUCGAACGAUGAAGCCCAGCUUGCUGGGUGGAUUAGUGGCGAACGGGUGAGUAACACGUGAGUAACCUGCCCUUGACUCUGGGAUAAGCGCUGGAAACGGCGUCUAAUACCGGAUACGAGCUUCCACCGCAUGGUGAGUUGCUGGAAAGAAUUUCGGUCAAGGAUGGACUCGCGGCCUAUCAGGUAGUUGGUGAGGUAACGGCUCACCAAGCCGACGACGGGUAGCCGGCCUGAGAGGGUGACCGGCCACACUGGGACUGAGACACGGCCCAGACUCCUACGGGAGGCAGCAGUGGGGAAUAUUGCACAAUGGGCGCAAGCCUGAUGCAGCAACGCCGCGUGAGGGACGAAGGCCUUCGGGUCGUAAACCUCUUUUAGCAGGGAAGAAGCGAAAGUGACGGUACCUGCAGAAAAAGCACCGGCUAACUACGUG